GACAGAGGGUGCAAGCGUUGUUCGGAAUCAUUGGGCGUAAAGCGCGCGUAGGUGGCUUAAUAAGUUGAAUGUGAAAUCCCUGAGCUCAACUUAGGAAGUGCAUUCAAGACUGUUAAGCUUGAGUCCUGGAGAGGGUGGUGGAAUUCCCAGUGUAGAAGUGAAAUUCGUAGAUAUUGGGAGGAACACCAGUGGCGAAGGCGACCACCUGGACGGAGACUGACACUGAGGCGCGAAAGCGUGGGGAGCAAACAGG
rnacentral:rRNA from 1 species